AUGAGUUGCUGUAAUAACCUGAGUUGUUUGGUAUCCAACCAAGAUAUGGCACUUUCAAGAAAGCACCAGCUGAGAGAGUUCCUUAGUAGAGCUGUGGUGGUUUCCAUCUCACUCCCUUCAUGCUACCAAAUGACAGGAACCAUCUCGGGAGCAGAGGUGAAUUGGGAGGAUUCUUUUCUUUUUAAUUGUGCUACUACUGGUGCUAUCCAACAAAAGCCAUGUUACCAUGAGGCCGUCUUUAUGAACUUUCCCACCAGAGCACCCUGGCCUCCCUUGUAUGUUUCCAGCUUCUGA
rnacentral:lncRNA from 1 species